UGGCCGGAGUAUCUUGACUGUGCAAAGGUAGCAUAAUCAUUAGUUUUCUAAUUAAAAACUGGAAUGAAAGGUUUGAUGAGAAAAUUUCUGUCUCAAAUUAAUUUUUUUUAAAUUUUAUUUUUAAGUAAAAAAGCUUAAAUAAUAUUAAAAGACGAUAAGACCCUAUAGAGUUUUACUAUAAAAAAACUAUUUUGUAUUAGAAUAAACAAAAGAGUAGCAAAAUUAUAGUUUGGUUGGGGUGAUCAAAAAAUUAAAAUAACUUUUUUUUGAAAAAACAUUGAUUUAUGAAUAGUUGAUCCUUUAUUAAAGAUUGUAAGAUUAAAUUACCUUAGGGAUAACAGCGUAAUUUUUUUAGAGAGUUCAUAUCGAAAAAGGAGAUUGCGACCUCGAUGUUGGAUUAAGAUAAAAGUUUGGGUGAAGAAGCUGAAUUUUUAGGUCUGUUCGACCUUUAAAAUCUUACA
rnacentral:rRNA from 1 species